UAUCCAGACUCCUACGGGAGGCAGCAGUGGGGGAUAUUGCACAAUGGGGGAAACCCUGAUGCAGCGACGCCGCGUGAGUGAAGAAGUAUUUCGGUAUGUAAAGCUCUAUCAGCAGGGAAGAAAAAAGACGGUACCUGACUAAGAAGCCCCGGCUAACUACGUGCCAGCAGCCGCGGUAAUACGUAGGGGGCAAGCGUUAUCCGGAUUUACUGGGUGUAAAGGGAGCGUAGACGGCAAUACAAGUCGGAAGUGAAAUACCCGGGCUCAACCUGGGAACUGCUUUGGAAACUGUAUGGCUAGAGUGCUGGAGAGGUAAGCGGAAUUCCUAGUGUAGCGGUGAAAUGCGUAGAUAUUAGGAGGAACACCAGUGGCGAAGGCGGCUUGCUGGGUCGAUACUGACAUUGAGGCACGAAAGCGUGGGGAGCAAACAGGAUUAGAUACCCGAGUAACG
rnacentral:rRNA from 1 species